AAAAGAUCAAACUACAAAAAUAUUCGGCCGGUAGGUCCGCCCAUUUGUUCAUCAUCCGCUGGGCCAGGCCGAAAACACCGUCCAGACUGCGAAACAGGGGCACGUUGCAGCCCACGGGGCUCCGCAGGCUACCAAACGGGGCACCCCUCUCCCGUGCCGUGCGACGUUGGAGCUGAACAACGGAGAGAAAAAGUGAGGCGGAAGACGAGGGACAUACUUCAAGCGCCCGCGGCCCGCAGCCUGCUCGCCCAGGUCUUCGCCGGCGACGAGCACCCACCAGGUCCGCUCAGUCCAUCUCUCCAGAAAUCCCCAGAUGUUCCACAGCAAGUCGCUCCCUAGGCCCAAGGACACAUCGGUGGUGGUGGUCGUCCUUGAGACGACAGAAGUGUACAUUGUGAUCAGCUUGUCGACGAGGAGAGACACCCAGGUCGUAUACGUCGAUCCGACCACCGGCGCCCUGCGCUACCUGGGGAAGCAUGGGGAGGACGUCUUUGAUUCGGAGGCGGCGGCGCUGAACCACAUCACCAACGGAUCAAGGGUUCUAUCCAAGAGCACUACAUAUGCCAAGGCAGUGCUGGGAUACGCGGUGUUAGGAAGCCAUGCUCUGCUCUUGGUCGCGACACAGUUGAGCGCGUCGGUCCCCAAUCUGCCGGGAGGCGGGUGCAUAUACACAUUGGCAGAGAGCCAGUGGAUAAAGAUCCAGCUGCAGAAUCCUCAGCCCCAGGGGACUGGAGAACAGAAGAACAUACGUGAGCUGGCCAAUCUAGACAUUGAUGGCAAGUUCUUCUUUUGCGAGACAAGGGAUGUUACCAGGCCCUUCCCGAGUCCUAUUACACUACGGGAACCAGAUGAGGAAUUUGUUUGGAACGAGUGGCUGUCAAAGCCCUUUAAGGACAUUGGUUUGCCAGGACACUGUGUCAUUCUUCUGCAGGGGUUCGCUGAGUGCCGGAACUUUGGAGGUGCUGGGCAGCAAGGUGGGUUAGUCGCCCUUAUUGCACGCCGAAGUCGGUUGCAUCCUGGAACUCGCUAUUUGGCCCGUGGACUGAACGCAUGUUCAGGCACAGGCAAUGAGGUAGAGUGCGAGCAACUCGUUUGGGUUCCACGGAAGGGCGGACAGCGCAUCCCUUUUAGCUCGUAUAUCUGGCGCCGUGGAACUAUUCCAAUAUGGUGGGGCGCAGAAAUAAAAAACGCGGUGUCAGUGGAGGCUGAAAUUUACGUUGCCAACGAUCCUUACAACGGAAGCUUACAGUACUACCAACGGUUGGGUAAAAGAUAUGGGAAUAAAUCAUCUGAAGCGAACGUGUCCAGGCAAAAAAGUUCUGGAAGGGUUCCCAUUAUUUGUGUUAACUUGCUAAGAUACGGCGAAGGAAAAACAGAGUCAGUUCUUGUUGAUCAUUUCAAAGAAUCUAUACGGUACAUGAACUCUACUGGAAAGCUGGGAAGCACGUGGAUUCAGUUAAUAAAUUAUGACUGGCAUGCCACUGUGAAGUUAAAAGGGCAGCAGCAGACAGUUGAGGGCCUAUGGAGGCAUCUUAAACCACCUACAAUGGUCAUUGGCUUCAGUGAAGGGAAUUACUAUGAUGCAAGACAGCAGCUUAAUGAAUGUAAAGGAUCAGUUAUCUGCAAUGACGAUGUAAAUGGUGGGUUUUGCAUGGAAUCUAUUCAAAAUGGGGUGAUACGAUUCAACUGUGCAGACUCUCUUGAUCGAACCAAUGCUGCUAGUUACUUUGGUGCACUUCAAGUUUUUGUUGAACAGUGUAGUCGAUUGAGCAUCUCGCUUGACAUAGAUGCAAUGUUUGGGUUGUCAAGUAGAUAUUCUGAAUAUGAUGGUAGAAACACUCGUUCUUUGCCCCCUGGAUGGGAGGAGCGCUUUGACUCUGUAACAGGGAAAUCAUUUUAUAUUGAUCAUAAUACACGUACUACCACAUGGGAACAUCCAUGCCAGGAGGCUCCACAGAAGCCCUGGAAGAGAUUUGAUAUGACAUUUGAUCAGUUCAAAGGCUCAACAAUGCUUGCUCCAGUGAACCAGCUUGCUGAACUUUUUCUUUUGGCAGGCGAUAUCCAUGCUACGUUGUACACUGGCUCAAAAGCUAUGCACAGUGAUAUUCUGAACAUAUUCAAGGAGGAAACAGGAAAGUUUAGUAAAUUCUCAGCUGUUGAGAAUGUGAAAAUUACGGUGCUAAGAAGGUACCAAAAUUUUAUGAAUGAUAGUUCCCGUCAAAAGCAGUUAGAGAUGUUUCUUGGUUUGAGGCUAUAUAGGCAUCUCCCGUCCAUCCCUAUGUUCCCUCUCAAAGUGCUAUCAAGGCCAUCUGGAUGCAUGUUAAAACCAGUUCCUAGUAUCAUCCCAAUGGCUGAUGGUGGUUCCAGUCUUCUGAGCUUCAAAAGGAAGGAUCUUAUUUGGGUGUGUCAGCAAGGUGCAGACUAUGUUGAACUUUUUAUAUACCUUGGGGAACCUUGUCACGUUUGUCAACUGCUUCUUACUGUCUCCCACGGUGCUGAAGAUUCUUCAUAUCCAGCAACCGUAGAUGUUAGAGUUGGCUCAAGCAUCGACUCCCUCAAACUCGUGGUUGAGGGUGCUUGCAUUCCACAAUGCUCUAAUGGGACAAAUUUACUGAUUCCAGUCACUGGGAGAACUGAUCCAGAGGACUUGGCUGUUACAGGGAAAAGUGCGAGGCCCAAUGUUCAAGAGAGCUCCUAUCUUCCUUUGUUAUAUGACUUUGAAGAGCUAGAAGGAGAAUUAAACUUUUUGAAUCGGGUUGUUGCAUUAUCUUUUCAUCCAUCUGCUGUAUCAAGAACACCCAUUACUCUUGGCGAGAUUGAAGUACUUGGAGUUUCCCUUCCAUGGGCAGACAUGUUAACCAAUAGUGAACGUGCUCCUGAAUUUAUGGAGUUUAUCAAUAAAAAAUCAUCAAGUGCUCACUGUAAUCUAGGUUCCAAGUCUUUUGGAAAUUCUUCCAUGCCUGGGAAUGAUUCUCAUGGUAUUGAUGAGUCUUAUACUAAAAGUUCAUCAUUAGUUCAACCGUGUGGUUCGGAAAAUUUGUUGGAUUUUCUCACAGGUGAUUUUGACAUGUCGGAGUCCCAUAUAACUCAAAAUACUUUUGGUGCUGGAGAACAAACAAACUUCUUAGAUGAUGGAUUUGAUGUUAAUCCUUUCGCCCCUGCAUUGGAAGUGCCUGUUCCUGUUGCUAAAGUAAACAAGGAGGUUGAAGAAUGUGGCAGCACCCAGCUUUAUAUUAAAUUUUUUGAAUCCCUUUCUGGCUAUAAUAAGGGAAAGGGUCUUGACUUUGAGCAAACGAUGAAGCUUGAAAUAAAACGUCUCCGUCUUGGUCUUUCAGCCGCUGAAAGGGACCAGGCGUUGUUAUCAAUUGGUGUAAUUCCUGCCACAUUAGAUCCAAACCGUUUAAUUGAUUAUUCUUACCUAUUGAAGUUAUCCAGCUUAGCUGAUAAUCUAGCACUGCUGGGCCAUACAGUCCUUGAGGAUCGCGCUAAUGCUUCAAUAGGGCUUGAAAAGGGCAGUGAACAUGCUAUAGACUUUUGGAACAUCAGUGAAAAUGAUGAAUUCUGCUAUGGUGGGGCAUGUGAAGUCCGUGCUCUGUCUUCAUUACAAGCUUUAGCAUCUAGAGAAAAUCAAUCGGUAUUCAUGGAAUGUUUCCAGUGUGAAAAGACAGUUUGCAAAGCUUGCUGUGCUGGGAAAGGGGCCUUCCUUUUGCUUAACACCUACAGGGAGUUGAAGAUAUAUGGUGGGAGUCAAAGUGGUGGCUACUCAGCACUCACAGAUAGUUUUGUGUGCAAAUCGUGCUGCAGUGAAAUUAUCAAACGUGCAUUGUAUGUGGAUUAUGUCCGGGUUCUUCAUAGUUUGCGCAGAAAAGAUCGUUCAGAGAAAGCAGCACUGAGUGCUGUGAAUCAGGUCUGCCAACUGGAGUACAAGAAAGCAUCUGAUUUAUCUCAAAGUAUUCAAUUUGGUCAGAGACAAUUGAAGCAGAUCCUUGAUGGUGAAGAAUCCCUUGCAGAAUUUCCAUAUGCAAACUUUUUACAAAUGGUUGAAACUGCCAAUGACUCUGAACCACUGCUUUCAUUACUGGCGCCUUUUGGUACUGGAGAGUAUACGUCUUACUGGAAAGCUCCACAAGGUAUCACUUCAGUGGAAUUCUCAAUUGUUCUUGGUGGUUUAUCAGAUAUUGCAGGAGUUUCCAUAAUUGUCAGUUCUUGCGGUUACUCAGCAUCUGACUGCCCAAUUGUAGAGAUAUGGGCGAGUAAUAAAAUACACCGAGAAGAUCGUACAUUUAUAGGAAAGUGGGAUGUACAGGAUAUAAUAUCUUCAUCUCCACAGCUUCGUGGACCUGAAAAAUCUAGUAGAUUGAGUGAAGAACCAAGACACAUUAAAUUUCACUUCCCAAAUCCUAUCCGUUGUCGUAUAAUUUCAAUAAAAAUGACACUUUCCCAUAGAGGUUCUCAUUCAACCAAGUUUAGUGAGGAGUUUGAUCUUCUAUCAUUGAAUGAUAGCUCAUCUUAUGAAUCGAAGCCAACCAAUUUACAUAAUUCAUUUAUCCAUGCAAAAAGAAUUGUAGUUUUUGGCAGUUUGUUGAGAAAGGAGAUGGAGCCUGACACAUCAGGGGGGAUAAUGAGAAUGAAAAGUUAUUUAGACAGAUCACCGGCCUUGGGGAGAUUUAGGAUCCCAGUUGAAGCUGAGAGGCUGAGAGAUAAUGAUCUUGUUCUUGAGCAAUAUCUCUUAGCUAAUUCACCUGGAAUAGCUGGAUUCCGGCUUGAUUCUUUCAGUGUUAUAAGACCUCGUGUGACCCAUUCACCUUCUUCAUCAGAGUUGGACAUGAGGGAGUUUUCAUUGACACGAAUGGAAGAUAGAUUUAUAAACCCAGCAAUUCUGUAUAUACAGGUCACAGUUGUUAAGGAGUCCGGCAAGUUGGUUGUAGAGGAAUACCGUUUACCAGAAGUAAAAGCAAACACGCCACUAUAUUUUGAUUUCCCAGAUCUACAACAGGAUGCGCGCUGUGUUAUCUUUAGAUUGCUUGGUGACGUCACUGCCUUUGUCGACGACAUUUCUGAGCUUGAGAACUUAAACUUGCGGAAUCUUCCUUUGGCGUCGGGACUGUCUUUGUCAAAUAAGAUCAAGUUGUACUACUAUGCUGAUACAUAUGAGAUGGGAAAGAUCGGCAGUCUCUCAGCUGUAUAAUGUAUGUGAGUUAUGUGGAUGGAUCCUUAACAUACUGGAGUCAACCACAUAGCCAGGCCGUUAUGGUUUUGGCCCUGACCCUGGCCUAAUAUUCCUAUUUGGAGCUAGAAUUACAUAUUGACUCAACAAUAAAACUUUUAUUUUAACAAGCUCAGACUAUGAAAUGGUCGUCGUACAUGCCAACCUGGGAUGGUAACCCGUCCCUAGAAGAUUGUUGUAACCUACUGUUUCUACGUGUUGUUGUGGAAGUAAGAGCUGCUGCUACAGAUACAUGAUGCUUUUUUUUUACUGCUUCUGUAUUCUUGCUUCUUUUUGCUUUUGAUUAGAUGACCCCAGUUUGAGGGAUGUAGGGAUUUUGCCUGUAGAAUUUCUGGAAAUUCAUCUCUUUUUUUAAUGUAGAAUAGCCGGAAAUUCAAUUCGAUCGCAGUCCACGAAACUGCCAGCUACGUUUGUCGAUACCUGUAUUGGGACCUGGAUUAUUGUAUAGAGCCAAGAACUUGCAUUGAUAUUUUUUGUUUGUUUGUUUGUUUCA